rnacentral:rRNA from 1 species
AAGUCGUAACAAGGUCUCCGUUGGUGAACCAGCGGAGGGAUCAUUAUCGAGUGUUACAACUCCCAAACCCUUUGUGAACCAUACCAAAUCGUUGCUUCGGCGGGACGCCCCGGGUGCCAUCGCGGCCCGGAACCAGGCGCCCGCCGGGGGUACCAAACUCUUGUUUUUCCACAGCGAGUAUUCUCUGAGUGGCACAAGCAAAAAAUGAAUCAAAACUUUCAACAACGGAUCUCUUGGUUCUGGCAUCGAUGAAGAACGCAGCGAAAUGCGAUAAGUAAUGUGAAUUGCAGAAUUCAGUGAAUCAUCGAGUUUUUGAACGCACACUGCGCCCCUUGGUAUUCCGGGGGGCAUGCCCGUUCGAGCGUCAUUUCACCAAUCAAGCCUGGCUUGGUAUUGGGCACCGGGGGCGACCCGGGCCUCAAAGUCGCCGGCUGGUAAGCUCUGAUCUCAGCGUCGUGAUCAAUCAAAUUCGCUUUGCAGAGGAGUGAGCCGUGCCGGUUAAGAAUUAUCUAAAGGUUGACCUCGGAUCGGGUAGGAAUACCCGCUGAACUUAA